GUUGCAAACAAAAUGGCCGCAAAAACAAUUUUUUUAGAUGUUAUGUGCCACUUUUUAAUGGAUUACGGGCUACAUAAAUCUUAUCUUAUGGUUCCGAUAAAUUCAGAUGAACCCCAGAUAAGAUGGCCUGCGCGUCUAUUAGGGCAUGAGCGUCAAUAAGGACAUAUACACAUCAGAUGAUCCAGGGGAGGCAACCUGGAAGGCACUGUCCAGGGCCGAGUAGUCCACAGUUAUCUUCCCCAGAGAUAAGAAAACCUUGAUAAAUACCAACUAUGCCCAUAAGUGUGAAGUGUUUUUCACAGUAUAGGAAGCAGAUUAAGGACUGUUAGGUUGACAACAAUAACAAUCAAAAAGGUAAGUAUUGAUUUAAUCAGUGUGAUCUAUAAAUGCUAUAAAAACUUUUAAGAUUGAUUGGUCCUAGAUAAAUGUGACAUAUUUUUUCUAUUUCACUCGUCAAAAAGUCAAGAUCAAGUGUAAUGCAUAGUGAAAGCAUUCUGGGUACUAUGUAGAAGGUCAUAUGCAAGAACACAUUUAUAUUAUUUAUAUGCUACAAAUAAUUAAAUUGAUACAAAUGAAUAGAUAACUAUUAUCUUAAUAUUAUGUCAUUU